rnacentral:rRNA from 1 species
GGGGAAUAUUGCGCAAUGGGGGAAACCCUGACGCAGCAACGCCGCGUGGAGGAAGAAGGUCUUCGGAUUGUAAACUCCUGUCUUCUGGGACGAAUAAAUGACGGUACCAGAGGAGGAAGCCACGGCUAACUACGUGCCAGCAGCCGCGGUAAUACGUAGGUGGCAAGCGUUGUCCGGAAUUAUUGGGCGUAAAGGGCGCGUAGGCGGCAACCUAAGUCAGAUGUGAAACCCCGGGGCUUAACUCCGGACGUGCAUUUGAAACUGGGUAGCUAGAGUGCAGGAGAGGAAAGCGGAAUUCCUAGUGUAGCGGUGAAAUGCGUAGAUAUUAGGAGGAACACCAGUGGCGAAGGCGGCCAACUGGCUCGAUACUGACGCUCAUGCACGAAAGCGUGGGGAGCAAACA